rnacentral:rRNA from 1 species
UACGAAGGGGGCUAGCGUUGUUCGGAUUUACUGGGCGUAAAGCGCACGUAGGCGGCUUCUUAAGUCGGUGGUGAAAUCCUGGAGCUCAACUCCAGAACUGCCUUCGAUACUGGGAGCUCGAGUCCGGGAGAGGUGAGUGGAACUGCGAGUGUAGAGGUGAAAUUCGUAGAUAUUCGCAAGAACACCAGUGGCGAAGGCGGCUCACUGGCCCGGUACUGACGCUGAGGUGCGAAAGCGUGGGGAGCAA